rnacentral:rRNA from 2 species
UGCGGACAGUGUCUGGUGGGUAGUUUGACUGGGGCGGUCUCCUCCUAAAGAGUAACGGAGGAGCACGAAGGUUGGCUAAUCCUGGUCGGACAUCAGGAGGUUAGUGCAAUGGCAUAAGCCAGCUUGACUGCGAGCGUGACGGCGCGAGCAGGUGCGAAAGCAGGUCAUAGUGAUCCGGUGGUUCUGAAUGGAAGGGCCAUCGCUCAACGGAUAAAAGGUACUCCGGGGAUAACAGGCUGAUACCGCCCAAGAGUUCAUAUCGACGGCGGUGUUUGGCACCUCGAUGUCGGCUCAUCACAUCCUGGGGCUGAAGUAGGUCCCAAGGGUAUGGCUGUUCGCCAUUUAAAGUGGUACGCGAGCUGGGUUUAGAACGUCGUGAGACAGUUCGGUCCCUAUCUGCCGUGGGCGCUGGAGAACUGAGGGGGGCUGCUCCUAGUACGAGAGGACCGGAGUGGACGCAUCACUGGUGUUCGGGUUGUCAUGCCAAUGGCACUGCCCGGUAGCUAAAUGCGGAAGAGAUAAGUGCUGAAAGCAUCUAAGCACGAAACUUGCCCCGAGAUGAGUUCUCCCUGAGACUUAGAGUCUCCUGAAGGAACGUUGAAGACGACGACGUUGAUAGGCCGGGUGUGUAAGCGCAGCGAUGCGUUGAGCUAACCGGUACUAAUGAACCGUGAGGCUUAACCUUACA